rnacentral:lncRNA from 1 species
AUGCCCGUCCUCAGAGCAACAUCUUCUUCAGCCCCCUUGCAACUCGGGGAUAAUCCCUCACCUGACAGCUGCCUGCCAUGGUGCAGGGCCCCCCUUGGCGUGCUCGCGGCUCAUCCCUGGCGGUGCAGGCGGGCGCGUGAUCUUUGCUCCCGGUGGGAACGCUUUCAUCAGGGUGCGCGGCCCAUUAGGCACCAUGAAGGCAAGCAGCGUGGAGAUGUGAUGUGGGGGUCCUGUUGGGGCAGCGUCAGACCCGGCCCUAUGUUUGUGGGGUGCUUGGCCCCACCAGGAGCAGCACCCGGUGCCGCAGUCGGAUCCCAGCAGGGUUUGUGGUCGCUGCGAGUGCCCAUGGCAGCACAGCCGCCUGGACACACGCCCAAGGGCUACUGCGAGGACAUUUUGAAGAUGGCAAGGACCGCCCCGCCAUGGAUGUGGUUUAGCUCAACAAAGCCCGCUUUAAAAAAA